rnacentral:rRNA from 1 species
GGUUGAAACUCAAAGGAAUUGACGGGGGCCCGCACAAGCGNUGGAGCAUGUGGUUUAAUUCGAAGCAACGCGAAGAACCUUACCAGGUCUUGACAUCCCGAUGCUAUUUCUAGAGAUAGGAAGUUACUUCGGUACAUCGGUGACAGGUGGUGCAUGGUUGUCGUCAGCUCGUGUCGUGAGAUGUUGGGUUAAGUCCCGCAACGAGCGCAACCCCUAUUGUUAGUUGCCAUCAUUCAGUUGGGCACUCUAGCGAGACUGCCGGUAAUAAACCGGAGGAAGGUGGGGAUGACGUCAAAUCAUCAUGCCCCUUAUGACCUGGGCUACACACGUGCUACAAUGGUUGGUACAACGAGUUGCGAGUCGGUGACGGCGAGCUAAUCUCUUAAAGCCAAUCUCAGUUCGGAUUGUAGGCUGCAACUCGCCUACAUGAAGCUGGAGUUACUAGUAAUCGCAGAUCAGAAUGCUGCGGUGAAUGCGUUCCCGGGUCUUGUACACACCGCCCGUCACACCAUGGGAGUUGGGGGCGCCCGAAGCCGGUUAGCUAACCUUUUGGAAGCGGCCGUCGAAGGUGAAACCAAUAACUGGGGUGAAUCGUAACAAGUAACC